CCCGGCCUGGCCCGGCCCGGGACGGCCCUUGGCGGAGGGGUGGCAGCCGGAGGGGGCGGGGGGCCGCCUGCCGCCGCCGCCGCAUCCCCCUCCGGAGCUGCCAGAUGGCUCUCCGGAUACCGCGAUCCGCGCUGGGGAUAACACCCGAUGUAGCCAUUCACGCGCUUUGAUUUCUUUCUCUCCCCUGCACUCCAUUUCAGUGCAAGCGGGGAAGCUGGCUGAGUGAAAGGCUGCUUUUGGGAUCUUCUGUGGGAUCUGCUCUGCCUGCUGUUGGAGGGUGGAAGCUUUGUGCUAAGGAGCCGUUCUUCCCAUUCUUCUUCAGGAGUCGAGGGAGCUUUCUCUUUGACAAUGAUGAAAACUGAAGGCAAGGCGGAAAGGACUUUAAGAAGUGCAUCACCACACCGAAAUGCCUAUAAAUCUGAUUUCCAUGCUAUCAAAUGCUCUUUUGAUGGUGUAAACAAUCCUGAUAACACUUCCAGUAAAACAGGCUUGCAUCAGAAGCUGAACACCUCUUCCAAUGGAGGGGGAAAUGACCCACACAGUCGAGGCAGAGCUGCCACUUAUGGCAAUAGAGUACACAAGAUCAAAAAUAUGUUUCUGCAAAUGGGAAGCUCUUCUUCCACAGCCUCUGAAAGCAGUCCACCUGCUGAGACCAAAUUAAUCAGCCGGGCCACAGCAGCAGAGUAUGGACCUUCUCCAGGUAGCCCAUCUUUUCUCAUUGUCCAAAAAAAUAAUCUUCUUAAUACAAGCACCAGCCCCUGCAGCAGUCCUGUGGAUUCGUUAUCUGUGCCUUCUGCUGCCGACAGGGUUGUCCGUAGCAGUGAUGAGGCAGACUUGGACAAAGUUGCCCUGGCAGAAAAAUUUUCAGAGACUAGGAAGCUUUUUGAGAGGAAUAUAAAACAGCGGAGCUCAGUGGACAGAUACUCCCCCAGCAAAUGUGAAAGAAGUGAAGAUAAGAGGAGACGUGGUUCAGCUUCUGAUUGCAGCAAUGUGGUGGACAACUUCAGUUUUAAUACAGAAGCGAGUCCUCCAGUUGCAUUGGAGAAAGUUGAAAAUCAAGGCAGUGAGGAGUUGAAACAGCAACAUCCUAACAGUGGUUCUAAAUCCUCCUUCCUGAAUGCAGGGCCCAUUUCUAGGAGGCUGGAAAGCUUUUUGGGUGACAGUGAUACUGAAGACUCCAAAGAAAUUUCAAAAAAUGAUAGUCCUCUGAAUCAGGACCCUUUGAGAGACCAGGAGAGUUUGAAUUUGCCUGCUGUUGCUGAAGGAUGUCUGGAGAAGGGUGUGUUCCCCAAAGUGCUUGGGAUUCACGGAGAUGAGCCGAGUGAGGCUCUUGGAAAAGACAAAAGGGAGCAACUGGUACUUGAGAGAAGCCUGUGGGAUAUGGGCAGUGUGCCCGGUCAGGAGGCUCAGCACAGAUCAGAUAGUGUUUCCUCCUCAGUUUCCCCCACAGAGGGGACUUGCACAGAGCUGGUUGGACAAAAUGAAACCUCAGGGCAUGAAAAUGAAGGUUUGGAGAAAGAUCACGUUGUUCAAGAGGAUCAGAUGCUCAUAUGUCAAGUACAGGAAGGGGAGAGGAGUGACUAUGCCUUGGAAGUGAUAGAAGAGUCUAUGGAUGGCAGCAAGACCAGUUGGGAAGAAGAAAGAAAUGGGUUGUCUGUAAGAGAUGGUCCAGUUACACGCAUUCAGGACGUUCUAGAGCAGGAAGAGGAUACUGAAGAAGAGGAGCAAGUGUUGGAAAAGCAAAGUGAGGACUUCAGUGCUUUUGGAAUAGAGAAUGCAGCUUUUGAUGGUGACAGGGAUACAGAGCCAGAAAACCAAGAGCCUGAAGGCAAAGAAAUUUUGGAGGGAGAGGAUGCGUAUAUGUAUGACAGUGAAUAUGAGGAGUUUCCUGGGCUUUCUGAAGAGGAGGAUCCUGAUCCAGACCGAAAAGUCAAGUUCUCAACAGCUCCUAUCAAAGUUUUCAGUACUUACUCAAAUGAAGACUAUGAUAGACGUAAUGAAGAAGUUGACCCUGUGGCAGCCUCAGCUGAGUAUGAACUUGAGAAAAGGGUGGAAAAGAUGGAAGUAUUUCCUGUGGAAAUUGAAAAAGGUGACAGGGGUCUGGGCAUCAGUAUCAUUGGAAUGGGAGUUGGUGCUGAUCAGGGACUGGAAAAACUAGGUAUUUUUGUAAAAACAAUAACAGAUGGUGGAGCUGCUCAGAGGGAUGGACGAAUUCAAGUAAAUGAUCAGAUUGUUGAGGUUGAUGGCAUAAGUCUGGUGGGAGUUACUCAGUUCUUUGCAGCCACUGUAUUAAAGAACACCAAGGGCACAGUGAGGUUUCUGAUUGGGAGAGAGAAGCCAGGGGCUGAGAGUGAAGUAGCCCGUCUCAUUAGUGAGACCUUAGAGCAAGAGAGAUGUCUGUAUGAGCAGCACUACGCUCAUGAUGAUACAGAGCAGGAUGAUGACUAUGAUGAUGAGGAGGAGGAUACAUAUGAGUCACAUUUACAUGGGAAAUCUGUAGAAGUUUUUGAUCUUCCUGAAAACGAAGACAUUGGUUUACUACUGGAUAUGGAUUCAGCAGAGUCUCUUCUUAAAUUUAAAGAGCUGCAAUUAAAACAUGCAGUAACAGUAGCUGAAGUGAAUCAAUUGAAGGAGAAAUUAAAAAUUGUUGAAGCUGAAAAAAAUGAAUGGAAAUUUAAUCGAGCCCAGCUACAGCAAAACUUGGAUGAAAGCAAAGAGAAAAUUAAAAAGUUAGAGACCUACUGGUUAGAGGCACAAAAUUUAUGCAAAACAGUGAAUGAGCAUCUUAAAGAGACUCAAGAACAAUGUGAUGCCCUUGAAAAGAAAUACAGCAAGGCCAAGAAAUUGCUUAAAGAUUACCAACAAAAAGAAAUAGAAUUUAUGAAGAAAGAAGAAGAGCAUUCAAGGCUACUUGAAGAGAGAGACCAGAAAUAUGCAGAACAACUGAAAAUAUAUCAGGAAAAAAUUUCAGAACUUGAAACUAAAUUAAAAGUAUAUGAGAAAAUGCCUUAUGUUUUUGAACGUGGCAGUUUAUUGGAAGAUGGCUGUCAAAGUCCAGGCCAGCCUAACGAACAGUCAAAGAUAAAAGAAGAAAAUGAAAAAGAAACCAAAUCAAUAGAAGAUAGAAUAAAUUCUUUAGAUAUGCUCCUUUCUGAUUUCGAUGCUUUUGUUGGGGAUACUCCCAGAUUAGACACCAGUGCCCACAAAGCAAAAGCUCAGCUUGCUUUGAAAGUGAAACGCCAGCCACCUUCUCGAUCAAAGCUGAAAGAAUCUCUUGGGGCUGGACAACAGACUGCAAAUCUACAGGAUGAGGAUUCAGAAGAUACUGUUCUCAACAGAGAACUUUCCACUAUGUACCUAACCAAGACCUUAGAAACAAGUGAAAAAUUACCUCUCCCACGCCUGGAUGACUCAGAUCGAAAGACUGAAAAGCUGGAAAAAAGAGAAAGCACAGAAAGUCCUCUAGAGUCAAGUCCUUCUGCUUCCACACACUCUUCUCCAGUACACAAACCAAGCAACGAAAAUAGCACCACCACUCCUCGUUCACCUCCUCCUGAAGAGAUGACUCCAAGUUCUCCUCAAGGGUAUCUCAAGAAUGUUAAACAAAGAGAGGCAAAAGGGAAAGGGAAAGAGGCCAAGGCAGAAGAAAAGAAAAAUGAAGACAGGACAGUAGAAACAAAUGAAGGAACAUCGUCAGGGAAGUCCAAAAGGAGAUUUCCAGAUUUUGGGGGAUUACGGAAAUCUGGGGGCAAGGGUAAGAAGCAAGAAAAAGAAAAUCUGAGAGGUUCUCUGGAUAGCAGAGGUUCCCGAGAACUCUUGGAUGACUCUGGCAACAAUCUAUCUGCAUCAGAUUCAGAUUCCCCUGCUCCUACUUGCAUGCCUUUCUCUUGGUUUGGAGACAGCCACAAAGAGCCUCCAGUUUCUAGUAGCAGCCUGCACGUUACCCAGAGCGGGCAGGAUGGUUGUGAGCACGGUCAAGAGAAGAACAGAACCAAGAGUAGAAUUGUCAUAGAUGAUACAUACCAUAGCAAGCCAAGUUGUGAACUUUCAGGGUUAGUGACAGAACCAAAUCUGUCAGGUCGUUCACACACUUUAACCUUCUCUUCAAAUGAGGCAUUAGAUGACGAAUUUGCAACAACAGGAAAGCAAAAUCAAUGGCACAGUAGACCUAUUUCUGAAUGGACCACCCAGCAAGUAUGCCACUGGUUAAUGGGAAUGAACAUGGAGCAGUAUAUUACAGAGUUCACAGCUAUGAAUGUAGAUGGACAGCAAUUAAUGCAGCUCGACAGCGAGAAGUUAAAGGCUUUGGGAGUUUCCAGUCAAAAUGACAGAUCAACAAUAAAGAAAAAAAUUAAGGAUAUUAGAAAAACACAGGAAAAACUGGAAAAGCAGAAGGAAAAGGUUCAAAAGAAGGAGAAAGAAGUUCGCAAGACUGGCAGAGUGGUGGCCACUCUUGAAUCAAGCUGCUAAAAUGACCAUUUUAUUUUAGUGCAGACUUGCCUAAUCUUGACGUAGUUCAGCGGAUUUGUAUAUAAUUGUACAAUUGAGGGAGGAGGGAAAGUGCAACAGUUUAAUAUGUAGCUUUGAGUUGUAUGGCAGACUUACAGACCUUGAGCCAGAGAGGAAUGCUGCCCUACUGGUAAAAGAGAAAGGAAUUAGAAGUACAGAAUCAUCAAAAGCUCAGGAUCACACAUGUAAAACCACCCUUCAAUUAAAUCAGUCAAGAAGGUCGAGUGCUUUCAGAUAGAACACAGAAUAUUGAUGCAACCAUGUAUUACCUUUUUUCCUUUGAGCCUACUGUUGCACCCUGUGAAGAGUGGUCCCAUGAAGGAGACUAGUGGAAAUAAUGGUUUCAGAGCUGUUGUAGUUAAACAGGGGCCAUGGCAGGGAUGAUAAACUCACCUGGCACCUGAGCAUAAGAACAUUGGUCAUCACAGACCACCGCAUUUAACAUCUGUCAGAUGUGGAACAAGAAGGCUGCAUGGAACGAGCUUAGUACCAAGCUACAUAAUCACCCAACAGAGUUUAAUUUUUACAACAGUUUUAAUGAAUAAAUGUAGUGAUUCUUUCAAAAAAAUUAACACAAACCAAGAUUAAUUAUACAGUGCAAGACUGAGUCCAUUUGCAUACAAAACUAUUAAUCUCAGCAUUUUGAUAGCUGAGCUAGUAUACUAAUUUUCUACAGUGAUUCAGUUCAACUUAACCAAUGUGCUAGCAAUUACUUCAGUAUAGUAAUGGAAAUACUAAACAUGAAAGUUGUCUUCUGAACUUCUGCUUAAACCAAAAGUUGUCAAAGACCAUGCUUGUAAGUAGGGUUAAACAUUGUAAACCAAAGUACUACACAUUUGUGUUUUCACCACAGUCAUUUGGGGUGUCAGGUGAAGAGAUAAAUACAAAUAUAAUUACACAGCAAGUUUCUAAUAAUCAGAAUACAGUUGGUAGUUAGUUGAGAGCUAACUCAGAGGCUUUAUUUCAAUAAUAUCUGAAAUAUUUAAUAGACUUUAUAGAAAACAAACUGUUAGCUUUUCUUCAGAAACAUCUCUUGCAGUUCUCAGCUAUUACUAAAAUCAGUUCAACUGAAUUAAUUAAAAGAUGUAAAACUUAGCAUAAAAGCAAGAAUACUCAGCUUCAAAUCUGAGUUUUUAAAAGUCCUUGCUGUAACUUUCAGCUUUAGUUUAGCAAAAGCAGUAGCUGCAAGUGUCCCCUCCAGGCCCCAUUUUACCAUGUGUGGCAUUUCUCACGUACAUCCUCUUGCAGGGCCAAAGAAGAGAACAGCUCUAGAUUCUCCUCACUUGUAGCCAAGCAGAUUAAAAGGUGUGCCAGUCACCAUCUAACAUCCUUGUAAGAAAGAAAAGCAGGGGCCUCAAGAUGCCCACAAGCUUGAGUGGAGCAGGUAACGCUACUGUUGUGGUGUCAAUUAAGCUAGAAUAGUCCUCCCUCAGACUGUGUAUAUAGAGCAGUCUGUAAUUCACUCCAGAUAAAGUGCUCUACAUUAGCUUGACCAGGGUAUAAAACCAUUUAUUUCACUGUUUUGCAGAACUCAGCUAGGGAGAUAGCAGGUGGAAAUCUCCAAUCUGGCUCAGCUACAGCUAGAACAAUUUCUGAUGUACCAGCUAUGCACUUUGUUUGCGGUAUCUCACCUUCUGAGAUAGUAAACUUGCAAAAUUUAGGCUUAUUCUUUCUGAGAGGGAUUAUGCAUGUCUACUGCAGAACAAAAAUCACAGAAUUACAUGCAGCUAAUUAACUGAGAAAAGGAUUAGUUCUCAGUGGCGUUAACUGCAUCACUCUUAAAACAUUCAGGAAUUACAGGGAUCGAGGUGCAACAUUCAUGUGUAUGAUUUGAACAAAGUUGGCACAGUAGGCAUUAAAAAAAGUUGAAUCCUUUCUUAAAAGGAGGAGGUUGUACCUGAAAUGUAAUAUUCAGUCCCCUCUCUAUCUUCCCCAGUAUGUUUUGACGGUUUGACUGAUACACAUUCUGCUCACCAUGUUUAAGUUACAGUGUGACUUCCAGUUACUACAAAAAUGAGACCAGAAGCACAUCACAAAUACAAAGGUAUUUUCAAAACCUGUUAAUUCCACUUUUUUUUAAAUACUCCUGAGAAGAUAGCUUAUACUGUCAAAGUAACAGAGAUGCCCUAUGAAGGGCAAAUUUUAAAAAAUCUGUUUAUUAAAAUAGUUUCCUUUUACAGCUGUAACCUGACAAUUUCAAGUCUGAGAACUUACGAGGACUAGAACGUUGAUGCUGCGUUUUGGUAGGACCUACAGAAACACAGGCAAAUGCAAGACAACGUACUGUACACAAGCCAGCAUUAGUUGUUAAUUCACAAUAAUCAGGGAAAGAUAAGCUUUUCACAUGUAUUAUAUAUUCACAUUACAAAAAAAGAAAUUCGACCGAUGCUCCAUACCUGAGAUACAUUAUACCAGUAGUUGCAGCUAAAAUUUAUUUAUUUUUUAUCCCUACAGAGGUAAGCGUGAUUUCUCUGGGUGAAAAAACCCUUGAUGUAGGCAAGGUGUGCUGGCAACAUAUCUUACUUUGCUAAAUUAGGCUUCAGCAUGCUGAAGAUAAAAGAACAGCAAAUGCCAUACGGGUGCAAAGGUAUAGCAAUAAGCUCCUCGAUAUUUCUUACACGAGUUUCUCAUUAAUCUGUAAUACUGUAUAAUGGAAAAAUGCUCCAGUGAGCUUUUUCAAUAGUUUUUCCAUUAAAACAGUUUUGUAAUUAUAUGAA